rnacentral:lncRNA from 1 species
UUUGUCUCUAGUAAUAAUGUUAAUAAAAUGUGGGUUCUUUUCAAGUAUGAUAAUUUACCGAUGUUUUGUUUUGGAUGUGGAAGAAUGGGGUAUGGGAUAAAAGAUUGCACUCAAAUAAUACCUGCAAGGAAAAGUAAAAUCAGUGUUGAUCCACCUUAUACGUUAACUUUAAAAGCAUAAUCAAAAUUAACUGGAAAAGAAAAUAUGAAAUUUAAUGCUAUGAUGAAGAAGGUGGGGUUCAAAGUUCUUACAUAGGAGGCAAAAUAGUGCUGGCAGAAAGCUCUAGAACAAUGGAAAAAGAGAAUAACGAGAUUCGGGGUGCACAGGAGAAUAUGGAAUUGAUGGGAGGGGAUGAGAUGAUAAAGGAGCAGGGAUGCAUAUAUGGGAUAGAUGAGGUCGAGAAGUUGAAUGAUAGUACAGUACAAGAGUGUAAAAACGUAAAUCCUGAAAAGAAGACGAGCUGGAAAAGAAUAAAACUAGUGGCUACGGUGAUACAAACAAAGGCUGAGAAUAGUACGAGAAAGAGUAAGUCCCCAGAAGAAGAUCUUGCAAGAAGUGAUAAUGAAGAUUUUGAUGUGGAUGGAACUAAAAGAUUGAAACAUGAUGAUUUUGAGGGUUGCGAAAAAGCCUUCUCAGAGGUGAUGUUAGAUAGUUCUGGGCAACUUGAUAUUAAAAAUUUCUUGAGAUCUGUGGCUACCAAGAGGCAAGUCAACCGGACGCAAUGAAAAUUAUAAGUUGGAAUAUUCAUAGAUUAGGGAGUCCACGAGCAGGAAGAAGGCUACAUUUUUUCCUAAAGCAGCACAAUCCCCAUAUGGUCUUCUUAAUGGAGACAAAGCUAGAUAAGCAAUACAUGGAAAAAGUCAGGAGGAGAUGUGGUUUUACUAAUGGAAUUGAUAUUGAAUCAGAAGGUUUGUGAUGAGGAUUAUGUUUAGCAUGGAAAGGAGACACUGUAAUAAGUUUACAAAGUUUUUUUAGGAAUCACAUUGAUGUUAUGGUUAAUGAAGGUAAGGAUGAAGAAGAAUAGAGAUUCACGGGGUUCUAUGGUUCGCCCUAUGUUAAUAAUAGGAGCGCUACGUGAAAUCUGCUAAAGAAAUUGGGGCAAGAUAGAAGUCAUCCAUGGUUAGUAAGUGGUGAUUUUAAUGAGAUCAUGUAUUCUUAUGAAAAAUGUAGGGGUGUACCAAGGGAAGAGAGUAGAUUGGAAGCCUUCCAAGAGGUUUUAGAAGAAUGCCAAUUAGAAGAUUUGAGAUAUUCGGGGGUUUGGUUUACUUGGGAAAGGGGAAAUUUACCGUAGAUAAAUAUUAGAGAAAGACUUGAUAGGGGAGUGGCAAAUGAUAAAUGGAGGCAGAUAUUUCCAACAGGUAACAUCAAACAUCUACCACACUCAAUGUCUGAUCAUUACCCACUUCUUCUAAAACAAAAUGUGAAAAUUCUUAUAAGGGCAAUCCAAAAUUUAUAUUUGAGGUGUGGUGGCUCAUGGAGGAAACGAUUGAGAAAGUAAUUAAAGAAUCUUAGGAAUCAGGAACAGGCACAGUAGCUGAAAAACUUGAAAGAUUACAAGCAGACUUAAAGAUAUGGGCGAGAUCAAUCAAAGAAGGGCGAGAGGGACUAAAGAAAAAGCUUACGAAGCAACUUGAUACGUUAAUGACGCAAGAAAAGACUGACGAAACGAUGGCAAAAGUUAUCGACACCAAGAUUCACUUGAAUAUAGAAAUUGAUAAAGAUGAAGCUUAUUGGGAACAAAGGGCAAGAGCAAAUUGGCUUAAAACAGGGGAUAAGAAUUCAGCUUUUUUCCAUAGGUUUGCCACAUAUCGAAGACACAUUAAUGCCAUAUCAAAGUUGGAACUAGAUGGAUGAGGAGAGGCUAAUGAAGUAAGUGAGAUUAAUGAAGCUGUUACUAUGUACUUUCAGAAGCUAUUCACGUCAAAUGGAGUCGAAGAUCCUUCUUAUCUCCUAACGGGCAUUGAAAAUAAUAUUCUGGCAGAUAUUAAUAGAGAUUUAAUGUUAAACUAUAUAGUAGAAGAAGUCUAUGAUGCAUUGAAAGGAAUGGGACCUACUAAAGCACCAAGACAUGAUGGUUUUCCAGCAAUCUUCUUUCAGAAAUAUUGACACAUUGUAGGUAAGGAAAUUGUUAACUUUUGUUUGAGAAUACUAAAUAAUGGUGAGAGUUUUGGUCCUUUCAACCAAACAGAGAUCGUGUUGAUUCCAAAAAUCCCUAAUCCCACAAGUCUAGAUAACUUUAAACCUAUUAGCUUGUGUUCGAUUAUUUAUAAAAUGAUGGCAAAAAUAAUUGUAAAUCGACUACAAGUAGGUAUUGGGAGAUGUAUUGAUGUGGCUCAAAGUACUUUUGUCCCGGGAAGGCUAAUUUCUGACAAUGUGCUUUUAGCUUAUGAGGUUUUGCAUACUUUUCGACAAAAGCGCAGAGGAAAAAAAGGAUAUAUGGCACUAAAGCUUGACAUGAGUAAAUCCUAUGAUAGGGUCGAAUGGGGCUAUAUAAAAGAAGUUAUGUUAAGAAUGGGUUUUGCAAAGGACUGGGUGUAGUUGGUUAUGAAAUGUAUCUCCACAACGUCCUAUGGAGUUAAUACAAAUGGAAGAAGUGGACGAAGCUUUAAAUCGACAAGAGGCUUGGGACUAGAGGUGCUUAUGGGCCGGGCUGGACCCAUAAAAAAUUUCAGCCUGUUACCUACGCCCGGGCCCGGCCCGGCCCGACCCGAAGUAUGGGUCUGAUAUUUUGCCCAGGCCUGGCCCGUGAAAAAAAUAUGAAGCCCGGGCUCGGCCCGGCCCUUUUUUUAACUUAAAAGUUAAAACUAAUUGUUAUUAAAAUUAAUUGUUAUUGAAUUUAUAUCAAAUAUCAAAUUGUAAUUUUUUUGUAUAUAAUGAACAAAAAAAUAAAAUAAGAUUAUAAUAUAUUAAAACAGUAUAUUACAUUAAAAAUUAUUGUUUUAAUCAAAAAAUUAACAAUAUUAAUUAUUUAGUUAAUAACAUUAUAAAAAUAUAAGCACCAUUUUAUGUUAAAAAAUAAAGUAUAGAAACUAAAAUUUAAUCAUUUUGGUAAAAGGAUAUAAAGAUUAAAGUUUAGUUGUAACUUGUAAGCAUAAUGGAAUGAGCAAAGAUCUGAGUUUUGGUAAAAGGAUAUAAACUAGUUAUUUAACUAUGCUAGCCUUGUGAUACAAGAUCAAACUUGUCACAUGUUUAAGUAAUACUAAAAAAACACACAUCAUUUAUGAAAAGAUCUGAGUUUGAUUGUUUCGAAGGAAAGGGUGUGAUAGCAACCUCUAAGUGAUAGCAACCUGACUGGGCCUGCUGUUUUUCUGCCUCAAUAGCUUGUUUCUACAAUAAAACAAAGCAAAAACAAAAAAGAUGAGAUUAAAAUUAUGAAUAACAUGUACAAAAUACAAUGGGAAAUGUUACUACUGCAAGAAGUGAAGUAAUAAUGGAAUGAGCAAAGAGUUGCAACAUCUACGCCACUAGAUUUCAAGAAGUGAAGUAAUAAUGGAAUGAGCAAAGACUCGAUUUUUCAAAGAGCUGGUACUGGGAUUGUCAUACAAGAGAAUUUAAAACAGUGUUGUACAAGCUUGGUCUGUUUUCAUACAAGAAGAAAGAACAUAAGGAUAUAAAUGUAGAUAGGCUCCUUGUAAGAGAAUUUAACACAGUGUUGUACUAAGAGAGUUUAAAACAGUAUUCGAGAGCUCAUCAGGUUCACUAAAUUUAAGGAAUAUAUGAUCUGUAAAUUCACAAGAAAUAUCAAUAUUAUACAAAUAUUAAUUAUAGAUAUUGAUUCCAUUAUGUUACAAAAUGUAUUUUUACUGUGACAGUACAAUCCUUUAUAGUUUGACUUUUCCUCAACAAGACCCAAAAUAAACAAAGUUGGAUGUAAUUUAAAUAUAAAAAUUUGUCUUUGUAAAGUUAAAUGGACAAUUUAGGCUUACUCAACCGCUCCAUAUCAUUUUAAAAAUAUAUACUUAAUAAUUUUUAUUUAAACUUUAAAUAGUUUUUCUUUUAAUUUGAAAUUAAACAAUUUAUCUAAAAUCUGAUUUUUUUUCUUGAAGUACUAACUUCAUUAAAAAUGGAAAUCGAAGUACGAAUGAAGUCAUUUCCACUGCAUAUAAUCAAACUUCCAAUUCUUGUUAUAAGGGCACAUUGUAAAUACCUAUCUAAUGAGACUUCAACAAGAUUUCACUUUUAUUUUAUUCAAUAUAUUCAUUCAAGGCAAUCAAACAUCCUCAAAAACAUCAAAUUAUAAAUCCAUAUCAAAUCUUCAGAUACAAAAAAGAGAUAUGAUUGAAUCAAGCUAUGAAGGAGACCACCAAUCAACCAAUGGUCAAACAACAAAGAGAUAAUAACUGGAUUUCAUAUGGAACAUAAGAACGCAAGCCCAAUUAGCUACCUUCAGUUUUAAAAUGAAUAUGCCACUGAAAGUGAAAACCAAUCCAAAGAAAAUUAAUACAACAUAAUCUUAUCAUUGUUAGCCCUCAUUCUAAACAAACAUGAACCUAGAAAAAAAAAUAGGUAGGAGAUUCAGAACAACAAAUAUCCCAUAUAUAGCACAAAAAACAAACAGAAUCAUCUCAGAAACACGAAAGAACAUUCAAGACCAACCAUUUAUAAAAACACCCAAGAAUAAAAACCACUCAAAUCGCAUGAAAUGAAGAAAGGCCCACUAAUUUAAUCUAUGUUGGAUGAAAGCACAAAGAUUGCAAACACAGGUACAUUAACCCCAGAAAGAAAAAAUGGAAGUAUGAACAAUCUUACCUCUCAAUAGCCAGAUUAUUACAAGCAAGGACUUUAAUAGUCAUGGAGGACCGGACACUGGAGGUGGAAUGGUGGAUCGAUGGAGAUGGUUUUUCGAUUUGGGGAAAAAAAUAGAGGGGAUGGGUUAGGGAUUUAUCAGAUACACGGGAAAUGGGAAACGGGAAAUGUAAUAAUAAAUUUUAAAAAUAAAAAAAAUAUUAAUUAUAUCCGGGCCGGGCCCAAAAAAUUUUACCCAAGGCCCUGUUCAUUUUCUAAACAAGCCUAUAUUUUUACCUAAACCCUCUCAAAUUUCAGGCAGACCAUUGGACCGGGCCGAGCCACCCAACCCAUGAGCACUUCUACCUGGGACAAGGAGAUCCUCUAAGUUCUUUUUUAUUUUUAAUGUGUAGCAAGGGAUUAUCAUCUUUGAUGAGAUUAGCAUUGAAGGAAGGAUUGUUAAGAGGUGCAAAGGUGAGUAGAAGAGGCCUAGAAAUUUCACAUUUACUUUUUACAGAUGACAGUAUUCUGUUUGGGGAAGCAUCAGAUAGGGGGCAAGGUGCUAAAAGGAAUUCUUAAGACGUAUGAAAAAUGUUCUGGCCAAUGUGUAAAUUUCAAUAAAUCUACAAGCUUUUUCUGCACGAACACUAUAGAAGGAAAAAAUAAAGAAGUCUCGGCAAUCUUGGGGGUAAGGACCUCAACAAAUAUGGAAAGAUAUUUAUGUCUCCCGAAUGUGGUUGGUAGACGGAAAAAAGAAUCCUUUCAGCUUUUCAAAGAGAAGAUUUAUACUAGAAUUGAAGGAUGGAGUACCAGAAUGUUAUCUGAAGGAGGUAAGGAAGUAUUAUUAAAUUCGGUACUUCAGUCUAUUCCAACCUAUGCUAUGUCUUUUUUCUUACUACCAAAGUCGCUUUGUAGAGAUAUAGAAAGUAUAUUUGCUAAAUUUUGGUGGCAAAAAGCGCACGGGAAAAGAGGAAUUCAUUGGUGUCAAUGGAAAUAUUUGUGUUGGUCAAAAGAAGAAGGUGGUUUGGGUUUUAGAAACAUGGCUCAGUUUAAUGUCUCAUUACUAGCCAAAUAGGGGUGGAGAAUUUUAAACAAUCCAAAUUCUUUAAUAGCUCAAGUUUUAAAGGCAAAAUAUUACCCAAAUGUUAAUUUCUUAAAUUCACGAUUGGGGAUCAAUGCUUCGUAUAGAUGGAAAAGCAUUUGGGCUACAAAGGACACUUUAGAGGAAGGUUUGUGUUGGAAGGUGGGCAGGGGUACGCAUAUUUCAGUUAGUAAUGAUUUUUGGAUCCCAGAUAUGAAAAAGAACAGGUUAUCAGCUUUAAUUACGAAUUUGAAUGAUUUUAAAGUUGCUAAAUUAAUUGAUCAAAGUAAUAGAACAUGGAAGAAAGAAUUGAUAGCUUCUACCUUUCCAGAGGAUGUUGUCGAGAAGAUUAUUUGCAUUUCGUUGGCAGAAGAACCUUUUGAAAAUUUUCGGGUCUGGAGUGCUGAGGCGCCGGGCAAACUCACAGUACGCAGCGCCUAUAAACUAUUACAAAGCAUUGAAGAUGAUCCUAGAGCUUACGCUUUACAAGCCGACUAUAAGGAAUUCUACAAAAAAUUAUGGCUUCUGAACCUUCCUUCAAAAAUAAAAAUUACAAUCUGGAAGAUAUCAUAGAAUUUUCUAUCUACAUGAGUUAAUAUGCUACUAAGAAAGUUAACAAACACAACAGUAUGCCCCCGUUGUGGAGUAGGAACAGAGAAUAUGGACCAUCUUUUCUGUGAAUGUCCUGCUUCAAUUUCAGUUUGGAGAGAGUUAUCAUGCCAAGCAUUUUUGCAAGAAAAUCAGUUAGAGUUUGUACAGUGGCUAACCUGGGUAUUUGCGAAGAACUCGGUAUCACAGUGUAGGAUAUUUUGUUGUGCAUUAUGGGCAAUUUGGGGAGAUAAGAAUGAUAGAGUGCACAAAAAAGUGAGUAAAUCUGGAAAAGUAAUAGGGAGAUUUGUUAAUAGUUAUAUAUCAGAGUUGAAUAAGAUUGAUAAAAGCAAACCACAAACUUCUAUAACUAUUAACAAGUAGAGGAAGCCACCUGAUCAGGUUGUGAAAAUUAAUUUUGAUGCAGCAUGCGACGAAAAUUUUAAUCAAGCGGCUGUGGGGAUUGUGGCCAGAGAGAGUGAGGGCAUGGUUCUUUUAUCAUGCUCGAAGAUCUAUCAACCGAUUGCAUCAGCCUUUGCGACUGAGGUACUCAUGUGCCGGAAAGCGAUCCAAAUCGGCAUAGACAUGCAUUGGGAAAAAGUCAUUAUUGAAGGAGACUCUUUAUCAAUAAUAAAAAAACUAGUAGUUUACUUAGUUGGAGGUGUCCCCGAAUAUGCAGAAGAACAAGAGGAAAGGGAUAGAGUGAGAGAGCCAGAUUGAACAGGAAAGGGAGAAGAUGAAAUGGGGGGAGUCUGAAUGAGGGUUGGUAAUGGAAUGGACGAAAUUAAAGUCCCCUCGGGAGUGUGAAUGCGUCUUGAUGAAGAAAUGGCAGAUGAAGUGACAAGACGGUGAAGAGUCAUCUUGCUGAUUGGCCAAAAAUAACAGCAACAUUAAUGGGAAUCCAGAGCGUUCUGACUCUAUUUUUGUUCUGUUGAUUUUCUAGGCUGAAUUAGGAUUUGGUUUGUUGUUCUUAGUUUUUAUCGUUUCUUUGUUUAUUUUGAU